GACGGAGGAGGCAAGCGUUAUCCGGAAUUAUUGGGCGUAACGGGUAUGUAGGCGGCUGGUCAAGUCUGGGGUCAAAGGCCACAGCUCAACUGUGGGAAGGCCCUGGAAACUGGCCGGCUAGAGUGAGGUAGGGGUUGCGGGAAUUCCCGGUGUAGCGGUGAAAUGCGUAGAGAUCGGGAAGAACACCUGAGGCGGAAGCGCGCAACUGGGCCUCAACUGACGCUGAGGCACGAAAGCUAGGGGAGCGAAUGGG
rnacentral:rRNA from 1 species